rnacentral:rRNA from 1 species
AUCGAUGAAGAACGCAGCGAAAUGCGAUAAGUAAUGUGAAUUGCAGAAUUCAGUGAAUCAUCGAAUCUUUGAACGCACCUUGCGCUCCCUGGUAUUCCGGGGAGCACGCCUGUUCGAGUGUCAUGAAGCUCUCAAAUGGAAUCCUUUAUUGUGAUUUUCAUUUGGAUUUGGACUCUGCUGUGGUCAAAUACAGCUGGUCUUAAAAAUAUUAGCUUGGUCCUUGAUAAUCUUGGUUCUACUCGGCGUGAUAAUUAUCUAACGUUGAGGACAUUUCUUUAUUGAGAUGGCCAGAAUUGUUUAAGAACUGCUUCUAAUCGUCUUCGGACAUAACACUUUCAAAUCUGACCUCGAAUCAGGUGGGACUACCCGCUGAACUUAAGCAUAUCAAUAAGCGGAGGAAAAGAAACUAACAAGGAUUCCCCUAGUAACGGCGAGUGAAGCGGGAUGAGCUCAAAUUUAAAAUCUGGCGGUCUUUGGCCGUCCGAGUUGUAAUCUAGAGAAGCGUUUUCCGCGCUGGACCGUGUACAAGUUUCCUGGAACGGAACGUCAUAGAGGGUGAGAAUCCCGUCCUUGACACGGACUACCAGUGCUCUGUGAUGCGCUCUCAACGAGUCGAGUUGUUUGGGAUUGCAGCUCAAAAUGGGAGGUAAAUUCCUUCUAAAGCUAAAUAUUGGCGAGAGACCGAUAGCGAACAAGUACCGUGAGGGAAAGAUGAAAAGCACUUUGGAAAGAGAGUUAAACAGUACGUGAAAUUGUUAAAAGGGAAACGAUUGAAGUCAGUCACGUCUACUUGGACUCAGCCUUACCUCGGUUUGGUGCAUUUCCUUGUAGACGGGCCAGCGUCAAUGUUGACCACUGGAAAAGGGUUGGGGGAAUGUGGCUCUUUCGGGAGUGUUAUAGCCCUCGGCCGUAUACAGCGGUUGAUAUUGAGUGGUACAGCAUGCUUCGGCGGUGCUUGUGCUGGCAUAAUGGCUUUAAACGACCCGUCUUGAAACACGGA